rnacentral:misc_RNA from 1 species
AAAAUAAGCUCGAUCAAGGUCUGUUUAUAAUCCGAAAUCAAACUGAUAUAAUUCAUCACAUACCUUGUCAAGGGAUGAAUUGUUCCUCCAGGCACUGGAACCAAUGAAGGUUCACGCAAAACAGCAUUCUCAAACUCUGACAAAAUCCCUCUUGCAGCCUCGGCCAAUCUUGACAAAAUCUCUGCAGCCUGGACUCGAAACGAAUCAGCUGAUUUCGAUUCGAAAACCACCUCAAUGUCAGGCACCAAGUCCAUUAAAGCAUCAUGUAAGUCCA